rnacentral:rRNA from 1 species
AGUGAACGCUGGCGGUAGGCCUAACACAUGCGAGUCGAACGGCAGCACAGUAAGAGCUUGCUCUUACGGGUGGCGAGUGGCGGACGGGUGAGGAAUACAUCGGAAUCUACUUUUUCGUGGGGGCUAACGUAGGGAAACUUACGCUAAUACCGCAUACGACCUACGGGUGAAAGCAGGGGAUCUUCGGACCUUGCGCGAUUGAAUGAGCCGAUGUCGGAUUAGCUAGUUGGCGGGGUAAAGGCCCACCAAGGCGACGAUCCGUAGCUGGUCUGAGAGGAUGAUCAGCCACACUGGAACUGAGACACGGUCCAGACUCCUACGGGAGGCAGCAGUGGGGAAUAUUGGACAAUGGGCGCAAGCCUGAUCCAGCCAUACCGCGUGGGUGAAGAAGGCCUUCGGGUUGUAAAGCCCUUUUGUUGGGAAAGAAAAGCAGCAGGUUAAUACCCCGCUGUUCUGACGGUACCCAAAGAAUAAGCACCGGCUAACUUCGUG